rnacentral:rRNA from 1 species
CCUAACACAUGCAAGUCGAACGGAAAGGCCCUGCUUUUGUGGGGUGCUCGAGUGGCGAACGGGUGAGUAACACGUGAGUAACCUGCCCUUGACUUUGGGAUAACUUCAGGAAACUGGGGCUAAUACCGGAUAGGAGCUCCUGCUGCAUGGUGGGGGUUGGAAAGUUUCGGCGGUUGGGGAUGGACUCGCGGCUUAUCGGCUUGUUGGUGGGGUAGUGGCUUACCAAGGCUUUGACGGGUAGCCGGCCUGAGAGGGUGACCGGCCACAUUGGGACUGAGAUACGGCCCAGACUCCUACGGGAGGCAGCAGUGGGGAAUAUUGCACAAUGGGCGGAAGCCUGAUGCAGCAACGCCGCGUGCGGGAUGACGGCCUUCGGGUUGUAAACCGCUUUCGCCUGUGACGAAGCGUGAGUGACGGUAAUGGGUAAAGAAGCACCGGCUAACUACGUGCCAGCAGCCGCGGUGAUACGUAGGGUGCGAGCGUUGUCCGGAUUUAUUGGGCGUAAA